AUGCCGGCCGAUAAAUCUCCUGGGCCAGACGGCUUCACCGGAUUAUUCUUCAAGAAAUGUUGGGGGUUCAUUAAGCCUGACAUCAUGAGGGUCAUCCAAAACUUCGACUCUCUUCACACUGCCAACCUACAGUGGGUGAACUCUGCCAAUGUUGUACUUUUGCCAAAGAAGGAUGGUGCAGAGGAGAUAGCUGACUACAGGCCUAUUAGUCUCAUCCAUGCUAUCGCCAAAAUCAUCGCCAAGGUCCUCUCCUUGCGGCUUGCUCCUCGCAUGGAUGGCCUCGUCUCCAAUGCUCAGAGUGCUUUCAUCAAAAAGAGGAGUAUCCACGACAACUUUAUGUACGUGCAGAACAUGGCUCGUCGGCUCCACAAGUGCGAGAUCCCCGCCCUCCUCUUCAAGCUUGACAUUAGAAAGGCUUUUGAUUCCAUCAAAUGGGAAUACAUUCUGGACCUCUUGCAGUGCUUGGGCUUCCCAAGCAAAUUCAGGGCC
rnacentral:rRNA from 1 species